CACCUCAUUGACCGGAAGGAAUCCCUUCUGGUUGAUGAGGUUGUUACACCUCAUCGACCGGAAGGAAUCCCUUCUGGUUGAUGAGGUU
rnacentral:miRNA from 1 species